rnacentral:tRNA from 1 species
GCCGCCGUAGCUCAGCCCGGUUAGAGCGCCAGACUCAUAAUCUGGUGGUCGCGGGUUCAAAUCCCGCCGGCGGCA